rnacentral:rRNA from 1 species
UACGGAGGAUGCGAGCGUUAUCCGGAUUUAUUGGGUUUAAAGGGUGCGUAGGCGGCCGAGUAAGUCAGCGGUGAAAUUUUGCGGCUUAACUGUAACAGUGCCGUUGAUACUGCAUGGCUAGGAUUUGGUUGCUGUGGGUGGAAUGUGUGGUGUAGCGGUGAAAUGCUUAGAUAUCACACAGAAUAUCAAUUGCGAAGGCAGCUCACAAAGCCAAGAUUGACGCUGAGGCACGAAAGUGUGGGGAUCAAACA